GUCAAACAAGAUGAAUUCAAUACCGCCCCAGUCUGAUCACUGAAAGACAGAAAGAAUAAGACAGACUGCC
rnacentral:snoRNA from 1 species